rnacentral:rRNA from 1 species
GACGAACGCUGGCGGCGUGCUUAACACAUGCAAGUCGAACGGAAAGGCCCUGCUUUUGUGGGGUGCUCGAGUGGCGAACGGGUGAGUAACACGUGAGUAACCUGCCCUUGACUUUGGGAUAACUUCAGGAAACUGGGGCUAAUACCGGAUAGGAGCUCCUGCUGCAUGGUGGGGGUUGGAAAGUUUCGGCGGUUGGGGAUGGACUCGCGGCUUAUCAGCUUGUUGGUGGGGUAGUGGCUUACCAAGGCAUUGACGGGUAGCCGGCCUGAGAGGGUGACCGGCGACAUUGGGACUGAGAUACGGCCCAGACUCCUACGGGAGGCAGCAGAGGGGAAUAUUGCACAAUGGGCGGAAGCCUGAUGCAGCAACGCCGCGUGCGGGAUGACGGCCUUCUGGUUGUAAACCGCUUUCGCCUGUGACGAAGCGUGAGUGACGGUAAUGGGUAAAGAAGCACCGGCUAACUACGUG